rnacentral:rRNA from 1 species
CCUACGGGGUGCAGCAGUGGGGGAUAUUGCACAAUGGGGGGAACCCUGAUGCAGCGACGCCGCGUGGGUGAAGGAGUGCUUCGGCAUGUAAAGCCCUAUCGGCAGGGAAGAAGCAAGACGGUACCUGACUAAGAAGCCCCGGCUAACUACGUGCCAGCAGCCGCGGUAAUACGUAGGGGGCGAGCGUUAUCCGGAUUCACUGGGUGUAAAGGGAGGGGAGACGGCCAUGCAAGCCAGGGGGGAAAGCCCGGGGCCGAACCCCGGAACUGCCGUGGGAACUGCAUGGCUGGAGUGCGGGAGGGGGAGGCGGAAUGCCGGGUGUAGCGGUGAAAGGCGUAGAUAUCAGGAGGAACACCGGGGGCGAAGGCGGCCUGCUGGACUGCAACUGACGUUGAGGCUCGAAAGCGUGGGGAGCGAACAGGAUUAGAUACCCCAGUAGUC